UUAAGCAUAUAACUAAGCGGAGGAAAAGAAACCAAACGGGAUUUCCCUAGUAACGGCGAGCGAAAAGGAAUCCGUCCAGCGCCAAGUCUUGACACUGAGGUGCUCAAGAGAUGCGGCGUUAAUGUGUUGGCGCAUCGUGCGCUGUUCCGCCUUUCAAGUUCCUUUGACAGGGACGUCCAGAGCGGGUGCUAGGCCCAUAGAGAGGCGGAACCAGCGGGCGCCGGCCAACGCAUUCUAGAGUCAGGUUGCUUGAGAGUGCAGCUUAAAGUCGGUGGUAAACUCCAUCYAAGACUAAAUAUGACAGCGAGACCGAUAGCAAACAAGUACCGUGAGGGAAAGUUGCAAAGCACUUUGAAGAGAGAGUUCAACAGUACGUGAAACCACUGACAGGCAAACAGAUGGAACCACGAAGUGUGCGCCUCGCUCGAUUCAAUCAUCGCCGACGGUUGGCCGCGGCGGGCAGGGGUUUCUCGGAAUCCGGUCCGCCGWGGCCGGCAACCGGCGGCGGUGGUGCAUUUCGUGCCGAGGAUGCUAAGCCACGUUCGACCAGACAGUUGGGACGGCCGUAGGAUGGGAACCCGGAAAGGUGCCCGUCAGGUGCUUGCGCCUGGCGGCGUUAUAGUCCGGGAUCGGCACCGUCGCCUAACACACUGGUCGAUGCAAGUUCUCCGCAAGGAGUGAAACCGCAGCUGCCUGCGCCGGCUAGUCGUCGUUUCGGGGCGUUCUUUGCGUGCUCUUCGGUGCGAAAAGACGUUCCAACGAUGGCGGCUAGUCGGCGCUUGC
rnacentral:rRNA from 1 species